rnacentral:rRNA from 1 species
AUUGAACGCUGGCGGCAUGCCUUACACAUGCAAGUCGAACGGUAACGGGCCUUCGGGUGCCGACGAGUGGCGAACGGGUGAGUAAUACAUCGGAACGUGCCCGAUCGUGGGGGAUAACGAGGCGAAAGCUUUGCUAAUACCGCAUACGAUCUACGGAUGAAAGCAGGGGACCGCAAGGCCUUGCGCGGACGGAGCGGCCGAUGGCAGAUUAGGUAGUCGGUGGGAUAAAAGCUUACCAAGCCGACGAUCUGUGGCUGGUCUGAGAGGAUGAUCAGCCACACUGGGACUGAGACACGGCCCAGACUCCUACGGGAGGCAGCAGUGGGGAAUUUUGGACAAUGGGCGCAAGCCUGAUCCAGCCAUGCCGCGUGCAGGAUGAAGGCCUUCGGGUUGUAAACUGCUUUUGUACGGAACGAAAAGCCUUCUUUUAAUACAGGAGGGUCAUGACGGUACCGUAAGAAUAAGCACCGGCUAACUACGU